rnacentral:lncRNA from 1 species
GACCAGUGCCUCCUGUUGAUGUGGGAGCUGCGUCGCCGGCAGCUCUUCGCCUGGGCCUCGCAGCGGCAUUUUGGCCUGGUGAGAUGGUCUCAUUUCUAGCACAUUUCUUUCAGUGAUUUCAGCUAGUGUUUUUUGUUCUGUUCCUUUUUUACUGAUUUUGUUGAAUCAGGCAUGUUCGACACAAAUGCAAUUCACAAAGAAAAAUCUAGUAAACUUUGCCAUGGUACAGUACCAAACAUAAUAUUUUUGUCAUGUGUUAGAAAGCAUGUUUGUUCUAGAUUUUUGCCCUGAUAUGUUCACUAUUUUUUUACCAUAUCCUUUGUUUAGGUGUCAUGAUGUAUCUAUGUCAGUUUUUGAGCAUGUCUGUCUAAUGGUGAGAUGGCAAUUUCUUAGAUUAUGAAUUGUUACAACAUGGCAAAUUCAGGAUUUUUUAGUUUAUUCAGAUGGCCCAUCUAAGAUUAUUUGUUUUGAAAUGAAUCAUUUGGCAAAAUGCUGGCCAUAUACAACACAACAUGUUUUUUUAAGAUGAUCACCAUGUUCCCAAUACAAGUUUCUUGCCAUGGCAAAAAUCUUCUUAUAAGGUUUUGCUAUUUUUUAGUUUGGCGAUCAUCAUUAAGAACCCAUUGCAAUUCAUUCACAUAAAAUGCAAUAGCAUAUUAGGGAGCACAUUUUAAAAUAGCGAACAUAUUAAGUUGCCUGGCAAAAAGUUUGAUGCUCGACAAAUAUGCGUGGUAUUGAGAUUUUGCCAUGGCAAAUAAAUACACUUUUCUACGAAUUGUGGCUCUAUUUGUACAUUGUUUUGAAAGUUGCCAUGGUAAAUUUAUAUAUUUUUUCAAAAAAAUCGGUGUUACAAGGUUGAUGGAAUUUUUUGUUAAUUGACCAUGGCAAGUUUCAAGUUUUUUUCGACCAUGUAAAAUUUAGUAUAUUCUUGAUGGCAAUUUUAGUAAAUUAACCAUGGCAAAUUAAAGUUUUGUUGACCAUGGAAAAUUUAGUAAUUGCCAUGGCAAAUUUAGUUUAUUGACCAUGGCAAACUUAGUAAAUUAACCAUUGCAAAUUUUAAGUAUUUUUUCAACCAUGGCAAAUUUAGUAAUUGACCAUGGCAAUCUUUUAAGUAGUUGACCAUGACAAUUUUUUCUGGUGGGUCAUGGAAAAUUUAGUAAUUUACAAUGGAAUUUUUAGUUCAUAGACCACGGUGAAUGUAGUUCUAAUAUAUGAUGGCAAUAUUAGUUCAUAGACCAUGGAAAUUUUAGUUUAUUGACCAUUGCAAUUUUAGUAAAUUAACCAUGACAAAUUUCAGGUAUGUUUUCAACCAUGGCAAAUUUAGCAAUUGACCACGACAUUUUUUAGUAAUUAACCAUGACAAUUGUUUUGGUGGGUCAUGAAAAAUUCAGUAAUUUACCAUGGAAUUUUCAGUUCAUAUACCACGAUAAUUUGUUCACAUAAAAUGCCUAUACCAUAUUAGGGAACACAAUUUAGAUCAGUGAACAUUUUUAAGUUGCCAUGGCAAAAAGUUUGAUGCUGGACAAAUAUGGAUGGUAUUGAGAUUUGCUAUGGCAAAAAAUACCCUUUUUAUGAAUUAUGGCUCUAAUUUUGCAAAAAAAAAUGAAAUUUGCCAUGCCAAAUAUAUAUAUAUUUUCAAUUUGUUUUGGUGUUAUAAAGGUUGAUGGAAAUUUUGUAAUUGACCAUGGCAAGUUCCAAGUUUAAUUUCAACCAUGGAAAAUGUACUACUUUGCUAUUGAAAUUUUAGUUUAUUGAAAAUGCCAAUUUUAGUAUAUUAACCACGGCAAAUUUAAAGUUUUUAUCGACCAUGGAAAAUUUAGUAAUUGACUAUGGAAAUUUCUUGGUAAUUAACCAUGGCAGAUUUAGUUUAUUGACCAUAGCAAAUUUAGUAAAUUAACCAUGGAAAUUUCUUGGUAAUUAACCAUGGCAAAUUUAGUUUAUUAAACAUGACAAAUUAGUAAAUUGACCAUGACAAAUUUCAAGUUUUUUUCAACCUUGGCAAAUUUAGUAAUCGGCCAUAUGGCAAUUUUUAAGUAAUUAGCCAUGACAAUUGUUUUCAUGGGUCAUGACAAAUUUAGUAAUUUAGCAUGGAAAUUUAAGUUCAUAGAUCAUGGUGAAUGCAGUCAUAGAUCAUGGUCAAUUAGAAAAUUUACCAUGGAAAAUGUAGUUUAUUGACCUUGGCAAAUUAGGUAUCGACCACAGAAAAUUCCAAUAUUUUUCCGACCAUGGCAACUUUUGCUAAUUGACCAUGGAAAAUUUCAAUGUUUUUUUGACCAUGGCAAAUUUCAAAAAGAUUGAACCCUGACAAGUGCCACAUGUCAGGUGCGAGCACAUGGCAACUCCGAACGUUUUCGACGGCAAGUAUAGUUACGCGAGGAUGGCAACUUUAGUGGGCAAGCAUGGCAACUUCUUGCUUCAGUUUAUUUUAUGACAAAACUUGCCCCGUGUCACCGGAUUUUGCCAUCCUCGCAUAACUAGACUUCCCAUCGAAAAACGUCAGGACCGGAUUGCGUGGCACUGAUCAUUUAGGUUUUUAUUACCAUGAAAAAUUUAGUAAUUGACCAUGGUAAUUUUUUAGUAAUUAACCAUGGCAUUUUUUCGGUGGAUCAUGGAAAUUUUAGUGACUAUGUCAAAUUUAGUUUUAUGGACCAUGGAAAAUUUAGUUCAUAGACCAUGCAGAUUUUAGUUUUGUGUAUCAUGGCAAAGUUUUAGGUUAUUGCUCAUGGACAAAAUUAUUCUCCUCAUGAUAAUACCCACUUGAAACCAUGGAAAUUUAGUUGAUGUUUUUUUAGCAUCAUGGAAAUUGGUUGCAUGUAUCAUGACGACUUUUACAUAAUUUUUGCCAUCAUGAAAAAGUACACCACUUUUGUCAACCAUGGCAAACUAAUACUUUUUUGCCAUUAAUGCGUUAUUUUAAGACCGUACAAAAUUUCUUUCUUUCACCAUGGAAAAAUUAUUAUUCAUUUGACCAUAUCAAAUUUAGUUUAUGUCCAUGUCAAAUUUACUUUUUUCAUACAUCAUGUCCUUUUUUAGUGUUUGGAUAGUGGCAAAUUUUUGCGACCACGACAUUUUAUUUUUGGUCCUCUUCCAAAAUUUAAUUCAAAUAAUGGCAAUUUUAUCUUUCUUUGUUGAACUGUGGUGAUUUUUAUCCAUUUUUAAUGAAUCUUUUCAUAUGAAUCAAUUUGACAUAACGACAGUUUUGUUACUUCAUCUUAUGGCAAUUUUUGAUUUAUUUCUUUUUCAUAUUCAAAUUCAUGUUCAAUUACCACUAUUAGGCUUGCUACAUGUACCUUUUUUUGGCCCAAGUUUUAGCCAUGUUUGCUUUCUCAGUAGGCUUGGACCAUGACGUGAAGGUGUUCGGGUUGGGGUUAUUCCCCACCGAACGGUAGAAUCGUUCGUUCGGUCCCCCUCCUGCACCGCACGAAUCUUUCGGUCCGCGGGCUACCAGGCCACACGUGCGGUGAAUAUCGAUUCGUCCACACAGAGUCGUGUCGGCUGUCUCCUAGGUACGACCACAUGAUUCCUGUGGUCGGGUAUCCAUUGUGCCUGACGUGUGGCAGUUAUCGGCGUCGAAAAAAAGGCUGGGCGCCACUGCUAGAAUUCAGACUGAUGGGUCUGGCUGCUGCGCUGCACGGUGUCGAGAGAUAGACCUGAGCCGCUAAGUGUAUUAAGUCGGAUGAUCAGUAUUCACAGUUUUUUAACUCACAGAGAUGGUUUUGGGGUCCCAAAUAAAAACAAAUAACUUUAGAAAAAUUCCAGAAAAUUCACAUAAAUACCUAGGCUCAUAAAGAGCUUUGCAAACAUUUAUUCUGGCCUAAUAUAAUUUAUUAAAACAUUUUUUUGCAAUAAAGUCAAUUUGACUCUUACAAAUAGUUCCCGAGUAAACUUUAAUAACACCAAGUAAUAUUGUAAUAAUUUUCCAACUCUUUUUUAUAUUGAAGGUAUCAUAUUACCUUCUCUCAUUUUAUUAUCCAGGAAAAUCAUUUUAUUCCCUCUAUGUUUAAAAUUCUCAAAAAUUUCAAAUUCCACUCAAAUUCAAACAACAACAAAAAAGCAAUCAUCAAUUUAUUUCUAUUUAUAUAACUUUCCAAAUUGUAGAAUUUUGGGAUGUUACAUGCCAUGUCAUUCAGGUUGUUAGUGGGCAUUACACUUUUGUCCGCUUCAUAUCUUUUGACCUUUGUUUUUACCUUGUUCACUAAUUAUACCUUGUGCCCUCGUGUUCUUCCUAUAAAAUGGUGGAUAUAUGUAAGGAUCCGCAAAUUAUGCGCCCAUUUCUCACAUAUAUUCUUGAUAGUGUGAACGAGUUGUUUGCAGUCCCGUAUGCAAACUACAUUAUGCAGGUAAAUUCUAGAUUGUUUGUAAUUGGUGAAAUAAAAUCUGAGCGAAACAUACACUUUACCUACAUUUUAUGGAUAAGUUGCAUCACAUGAUUGAGCAUGGAGGGCCUCACCACCAAGAAAUUAUUGUUUUGAAAUUAGCUGGCUAGUAGUACACAUGAUCCACGAAAAGCACUGUUCCAAAGAAGAGCAAAGACAUUCAGAAGUGCUUAAUCUACGUGAGCCAACAUGAUUGCACGCGGUCAUAACUAAGAUCCUCUAGGUGGGAGGUGGUCAGACUAUUGAUCAUCUCCUGGUCUAUGCUUCUUAAAAAUCUUAACUCUGCAUGCCUAGAGAGAUGCACAUGACUAAUCUUGUGUGGUUGCAUGAUCUUGCAGGGUAUGAUGAUCUAAUAGUAUGCCAACUAUGUUGUGCAGAAGAUGAUUGAAGUGGUUCAUGGGUUACACUUGAACAUGAUAGUGGAUGUGGUGAGGCGCAACAUGGUCACAUUGGUAAAAUACACCACACGAGGCACAUCAUAAUGCAAGUCAUCAUGCUCGUCUAAGCUAUAGCAGGGUACUAUAGAUCCCUUGCACUAGCUUCACCCCAUUUAUCUAGUUUUCUGUAGAAUAGUUCACUUUGUAUGUGUCUCUUCUUCUUCCUUACUUAGUGAUUGAUAGUAAUUGAAGUUUAGUUAAAACAAGUACUUCUAUUUUCCAUUAGUUGAACUCUAUUGUUUCUAUAAGAGAAUAACCAAAAUGCACACAACCUCC